CGCCCGUCACACCAUGGGAGCUGGUAAUACCCAAAGUCGGUUUGCUAACCUCGGAGGCGACUGCCUAAGGUAGGACUGGUGACUGGGGUGAAGUCGUAACAAGGUAUCCCUACGAGAACGUGGGGAUGGAUCACCUCCUUUCUACGGAGUACAAUUGAAGUUAUCCAUACUUCAUGACUAAAGUUAAUGGAAUUAUGUUCGUAUCCAGUUUUGAGAGAAUUAUUCUCUCUUUUUGUUCUUUGAAAACUGAAUUAGACAUUGAAAAAUUAUCAAAUUAAUAUUUCAAAGUUUAGAUCAACCUAUAGAAUAUUCUAAAACAUAUAUACGACAACAAUAGGUCAUACAUAUUUAACUAUUAAAUAAGCAAGAGUUUUUGGUGGAUGCCUUGGGUCUAGAAGUCGAAGAAGGACGUGAUUACCUGCGAUAAGCCUCGUUUAGUUGGAAAUAAACAUUGAGACGGGGAUUUCCGAAUGGGGAAACCUAAUUGAGCUAAUCCUCAAUUAUCAUAGUCAGUGAAUACAUAGCUGAAUGAAGAGACACGUUGUGAAUUGAAACAUCUCAGUAACAACAGGAAAAGAAAAUAAAGAAUGAUUCCCUAAGUAGUGGCGAGCGAACGGGGAAAAGCCCAAACUAGCAUUUGUUGCUAGGGUUGUAGGACUACCUAUAUAAAGUUACAAAAUUUACAUAUAGCAGAAUAAGUUGGAAUGCUUAAACAUAGAGGGUGAAAUUCCCGUAAGUGAAAUGUGUAAAACUUUUAGUAGUAUCCUGAGUAGGGCGGGGCACGUGAAACCCUGUCUGAAUCUGCCGGGACCACCCGGUAAGGCUAAAUACUAACUAGACACCGAUAGUGAACAA
rnacentral:sRNA from 2 species